rnacentral:rRNA from 1 species
CCUACGGGUGACAGCAGUGGGGAAUAUUGCACAAUGGGGGAAACCCUGAUGCAGCGACGCCGCGUGAGUGAAGAAGUAAUUCGUUAUGUAAAGCUCUAUCAGCAGGGAAGAAAAUGACGGUACUUGUGUAAGUAGCCCCGGCUAACUACGUGCCAGCAGCCGCGGUCAUACGGAGGGGGCAAGCGUUAUCCGGAUUUACUGGGUGUAAAGGGAGCGUAGACGGCAGUGCAAGUCUGGAGUGAAAGGCGGGGGCUCAACCUCCGGACUGCUCUGGAAACUGUACGGCUGGAGUGCAGGAGAGGGAAGUAGAAUUCCUGGUGUAGCGGUGAAAUGCGUAGAUAUUAGGAGGAAGACCAGUGGCGAAGGCGGCUUACUGGACUGUAACUGACGUUGAGGCUCGAAAGCGUGGGGAGCAAACAGGAUUAGAUACCCUUGUAGUC